rnacentral:rRNA from 1 species
GUGCCAGCCGCCGCGGUAAUACGGAAGGUCCGAGCGUUAUCCGGAUUUAUUGGGUUUAAAGGGAGCGUAGGUGGAAAUGUAAGUCAGCCGUCAAAUCGCGGAGCUCAACUCCGUCCAGCGGUUGAAACUGCGUUUCUUGAGUGCGCAAGAGGCAGGUGGAAUUCGAGGUGUAGCGGUGAAAUGCUUAGAUAUCUCGAAGAACUCCGAUUGCGAAGGCAGCUUGCUGGGGCGCAACUGACGCUGAGGCUCGAAGGUGCGGGUAUCAAACAGGAUUAGAUACCCUGGUAGUCCGCACAGUAAACUAUGGAUGCUCGCGGUGCGGGGCUUGCCCCUACGCCGCCUACCGAAAGCGUUAAGCAUCCACCUGGGGAGUACGCCGGCAACAGUGAAACUCAAAGGAAUUGACGGGGGCCCGCACAAGCGGAGGAACAUGUGGUUUAAUUCGAUGAUACGCGAGGAACCUUACCCGGGCUUGAAAGAUGGUCGGCGGCGUCCAGAGACGGGCGCUUCCUUCGGGCGGCCAUCUAGGUGCUGCAUGGUUGUCGUCAGCUCGUGCCGUGAGGUGUCGGCUUAAGUGCCAUAACGAGCGCAACCCUUAUCGUUGGUUACCAUCGGGCAAUGCCGGGGACUCCAGCGACACUGCCAUCGCAAGAUGUGAGGAAGGGCGGGGAUGACGUCAAAUCAGCACGGCCCUUACGUCCGGGGCUACACACGUGUUACAAUGGGGGGCACAGAAAGCUGGAUGGCGGCGACGUCGUCCGAAUCCUCAAAUCCCCUCCCAGUUCGGACUGGAGUCUGCAACCCGACUCCACGAAGCUGGAUUCGCUAGUAAUCGCGCAUCAGCCAUGGCGCGGUGAAUACGUUCCCGGGCCUUGUACACACCGCCCGU